CAGCAGCCGCGGUAAUACGUAGGGUGCGAGCGUUAAUCGGAAUUACUGGGCGUAAAGCGUGCGCAGGCGGUUCGUUAAGACAGAUGUGAAAUCCCCGGGCUUAACCUGGGAACUGCAUUUGUGACUGGCGAGCUAGAGUAUGGCAGAGGGGGGUAGAAUUCCACGUGUAGCAGUGAAAUGCGUAGAGAUGUGGAGGAAUACCGAUGGCGAAGGCAGCCCCCUGGGCCAAUACUGACGCUCAUGCACGAAAGCGUGGGGAGCAAACAGAAUUAGAUACCCCAGUAGUCCCUGUCUCUUAUAC
rnacentral:rRNA from 1 species